GGGAAACAGGACUUUUACUGUGAAAAAAUUAGAGUGCUCCAGGCAGGCCUAUGCUCGAAUACAUUAGCAUGGAAUAAUAGAAUAGGACGUGUGGUUCUAUUUUGUUGGUUUCUAGG
rnacentral:ncRNA from 1 species